UACGGAGGGGGGCUAGCGUUAUUCGGAAUUAUUGGGCGUAAAGGGCGCGUAGGCGGCUCGAUAAGUCAAAGGUGAAAUCCCUCGGCUCAACUGAGGAACUGCCUUUGAAACUGUCGAGCUUGAGUCCGGGAGGGGGUAGCGGAAUUCCCAGUGUAGCGGUGAAAUGCGUAGAUAUUGGGAGGAACACCAGUGGCGAAGGCGGCUACCUGGACCGGGAACUGACGCUGAGGCGCGAAAGCGUGGGUAGCAAACAGG
rnacentral:rRNA from 1 species